rnacentral:rRNA from 1 species
GCGUUGUUCGGAUUCAUUGGGCGUAAAGGGUGCGUAGGUGGUGAGGUAAGUCGGAUGUGAAAUCUCGGGGCUUAACCCCGAAACUGCAUUCGAUACUGCUUUGCUCGAGGACUGGAGAGGAGAUUGGAAUUCAUGGUGUAGCAGUGAAAUGCGUAGAUAUCAUGAGGAAGACCAGUGGCGAAGGCGGAUCUCUGGACAGUUCCUGACACUGAGGCACGAAGGCCGG